CUAAGUCACGUGAGAACCUGAGGCCUCUAGGUGCCGGAACCUGACCUGAGCUGGGGCCUGUGCUUCCAGUGGGUGGUGGGGGGCCUGGUGUGCUGGCAUCAGGUAAGCCGACUGCCUCGGCAAAGGCUUAAGGACAAGAACUGGCUGGGGCAUCCGGAAGGCUUAGAUCUUGUGGCCAAGAGUUCAGACCGUGGCGAAGUGGAGAGUGACAUGCAGUUGGAUGGCGGUGACUGCGUGGGGAGCUGAAGGAGAUGUUGAAGACAUCCUGCUUUCAAUAAGCCAACCGGAUCCUCCUGUGGUCCCGCAACCCAGAUUCCAGUCUGGCAAGCAUUCUAGACCUGGUUGCUGAAGACUGACGGGGUCCAGGGUCUGCUGCCCCCACCGCCUUCACCACCUCAGAACCCAGGGUAACGCCGUCAGUCUCUGGACCAACCUCGCCGUGCCUAACAAGAGUUCCAGAAGUCACCCAUCUGAAAGGCACUGGCCCAUGACACUCUCCACUUCCAAUCUUAAAUCUUUUACUUCAUACCUUGUCUCAGAUCUCUCCUGGUACCCCUUCCCCACGCCCUUAGAUAAUCCAUCUCAAUUCCUCAUGCUAAUCGAGGAGCUAUGGCUGCAAGGCACUUUCCAGGAUUUCACACCUACACAAAUCUCCUUUUUCUCCUUUUGCCUUCUCUGCUUAUGGGAUAUUCUGAGUCCCCACCCCCAAUCACUGACAGCUGGGCCCCCUUCGUCAGCCUCACACACCACCUGUUAAGUCAGUCACAAUCUCCCCUCUCCUCUAACUGUUGGAUUUGUCUUUCUACGCACACCCAGUGAUUCACGGCUCUUCCGGCCGACCUACUUACGUGGACACAGACCAACAUGAGCUUACACAUUUUUUACUCGGCCAUACCAUUCUUGGCUGAUUCAUCCCUGAAGCCAGUUCAUAACCUGGAAACUCAACUGAACACCUUUCCUCCAAACUCAGCCCUCUCAGCAUGGUUUCAGGUAGGGCUGUUGCCCUCCUUCAUCUAAUAGUUUCUGGACUAACAUCCAUACAAACCAACACAACGUCAUCUAAACCACCAAUAUGGGGGUACCAUUUCUACUCAAACUUCCUUCAUAUCCCCACCCACCUUAUGUCUCAGCCGAACCUACCCUAAUCCAGCCCACGCCACAAUGGUGGGACAGGUCCCUCAGUCCCUAUGUGGUCUUAUUCUUACCAUUGCACUCCCUGUAGACUAUCAAUUCUACACCCUAAUUACAAAAUCAGGUCCACCUCUGCCUGGCAGAAGGUGUUAUGCUUUUCUGGCUCACUUACCAUCCACACAUCCCUGCACCUCACCACCGGAUCCUCUCUUCUUUCCUACCAUCCAAUUCCCAGCUUCCCCCCGUCAACUCUGCUCUCUAUGUCUCCAGUUUAAAGGUGCCCCCUGGAAAAAAAAUUUAACAAUUCCCUCACCUGCAACUGGUACCUUACAGCCACCACACCAGGGCAGCAAUGGCUAACAGUUGACAAAGACAAUUUCUCUCUCCAAAACCAAACAGCCUUCAUCAACUCCCCAGCCAAGGCUACCUAUCAGGCCCUUACAGGUGCCACUCUGACUGGCAGUUACUCAAUUUGGCAGAACGAAAACACCUUUUCAUGGCUACCUACCUUCACCUACAACUUCUGCCUGUCCACCCCGUCUCUUCUUUUUGUAUGAUACAAACUGAUAUCUUUGCCUACCAGGAAAAAGGAACUUGCACCCUGGUCUUUCAAGCUCCAACCAUCAACAUCCUACCCCCAAACAAAAGUAUUCUAAUUUCUUUAGAAGCCUCUAUCUCCUUUUCACCUAUAAGAAAUAAAUGGGCUCUACACCUCAUCACCCUGCUAACAGGAUUAGGCAUCACUGCUGCACUCGGCACUGGAAUAGCAGGCAUAACCUCCUCAAUCACCUCAUACCAAAUGCUAUUCACAACCCUUUCUAACACCCUAGAAGAUAUGCACACUUCCAUUAUCAGUCUCCAACAACAAUUAGACUUCCUCGUGGGAGUCAUCUUUCAAAACUGGAGAGCCCUGGACCUACUAACCGCUGAGAAAGGGGGUACCUGCAUAUACCUCCAGGAAGAAUGCUGUUUCUGUGUUAAUGAAUCUGGCAUUGUUCAUAUCGCAGUUCACAGGUUUCAUGACAGGGCUGCAGAGCUUUGACGUCGUCGCUUACCCCUGGUGGCAAGGAUCAUCCCUUCUAAGAUGGAUACCCUGGGUUGCCCCCUUCCUAGAACCCCUGAUCUUCCUCUUCCUGUUACUAAUGAUUGGGUCAUGCAUAUUUAACCUUGUAUCCCACUUCAUUUCCCAAAGGCUGAAUUGUUUUAUUCAGGCAAGCAUGCAAAAACACAUUGAUAAUAUCCUUCACCUUUGCUACGUCUAAUACCAGAGCCUACAAGGAAGCCAUUCGGAAGCUCCAAAACCCAGGCCCUAAUCACGGCGCCCCUAUCCAGCAGGAAGCAGCCAGAUGAUCAACGACGCCCUUUUUCCUUUUUAUACUAAAGUAAGAAAUAAGAAUGUUAGCCCAAGCUGCAUUAUUUUGCAGACCCCCACCAUUUUACAAACUGGUCAGAGUGGAAAAUUCCACCAGGGCCUGAGCUGUGAGAAACAUCCUGUCAGAGAGGUCCCAGGCCUAACCCCUGGCUGCACUAAAUUCCUUCAUUAGCAGCAGCCAAACACACCGCCCCCACCCCAUUUUCACAAAAAUCCCAGACCUCUCCUGCCCGGAACUAUAACUGGUCCAGCCUGUAAGUGGGAAGGGGGCUCUGGCACUAGCUGGUACCCCCUCUCCGCAGGUCAUUCUCCCAAUAAAUCUGUGUUGCCAUUGA